rnacentral:rRNA from 1 species
UUGAUCAUGGCUCAGGAUGAACGCUAGCGGCAGGCUUAACACAUGCAAGUCGAGGGGCAGCAUGGGAGUAGCAAUACUUCUGAUGGCGACCGGCGCACGGGUGCGUAACGCGUAUGCAACCUACCUGUAACAGGGGGAUAACACUGAGAAAUCGGUACUAAUACCGCAUAACACUAUGAGAGGCAUCUCUUGUGGUUGAAAGUUUCGGCGGUUACAGAUGGGCAUGCGUUGUAUUAGCUGGUUGGUAAGGUAACGGCUUACCAAGGCGACGAUACAUAGGGGGACUGAGAGGUUAACCCCCCACAUUGGUACUGAGACACGGACCAAACUCCUACGGGAGGCAGCAGUGAGGAAUAUUGGUCAAUGGACGGAAGUCUGAACCAGCCAUGCCGCGUGCAGGAAGACGGCUCUAUGAGUUGUAAACUGCUUUUGUACAAGGGUAAACCUGAAUACGUGUAUUCAGCUGAAAGUAUUGUACGAAUAAGGAUCGGCUAACUCCGUGCCAGCAGCCGCGGUAAUACGGAGGAUCCAAGCGUUAUCCGGAUUUAUUGGGUUUAAAGGGUGCGUAGGCGGAUUGAUAAGUUAGAGGUGAAAUGUCCGAGCUCAACUCGGGAACUGCCUCUAAUACUGUUGAUCUAGAGAGUAGAUGCGGUAGGCGGAAUGUAUGGUGUAGCGGUGAAAUGCUUAGAGAUCAUACAGAACACCGAUUGCGAAGGCAGCUUACCAAUCUAUAUCUGACGUUGAGGCACGAAAGCGUGGGGAGCAAACAGGAUUAGAUACCCUGGUAGUCCACGCAGUAAACGAUGAUAGCUCGUUGUCGGCGAUACACAGUCGGUGACUAAGAGAAAUCGAUAAGCUAUCCACCUGGGGAGUACGUUCGCAAGAAUGAAACUCAAAGGAAUUGACGGGGGCCCGCACAAGCGGAGGAACAUGUGGUUUAAUUCGAUGAUACGCGAGGAACCUUACCCGGGCUUGAAAGUUAGUGACUGAUCUGGAAACAGGUCUUCCCUUCGGGGCACGAAACUAGGUGCUGCAUGGUUGUCGUCAGCUCGUGCCGUGAGGUGUCGGGUUAAGUCCCAUAACGAGCGCAACCCCUACUGAUAGUUGCCAUCAGGUCAAGCUGGGCACUCUAUCGGGACUGCCGGUGUAAGCCGGAGGAGGGUGGGGAUGACGUCAAAUCAGCACGGCCCUUACGUCCGGGGCGACACACGUGUUACAAUGGUAGGUACAGAGGGCCGCUACCCAGCGAUGGGGUGCAAAUCUCGAAAGCCUAUCUCAGUUCGGAUUGGAGGCUGAAACUCGCCUCCAUGAAGUUGGAUUCGCUAGUAAUCGCGCAUCAGCCAUGGCGCGGUGAAUACGUUCCCGGGCCUUGUACACACCGCCCGUCAAGCCAUGGGAGUUGGGGGUGCCUGAAGUUCGUGACCGCAAGGAGCGACCUAGGGCAAAACUAAUGACUGGGGCUAAGUCGUAACAAGGUAGCCGU